rnacentral:rRNA from 1 species
AUUGAACGCUGGCGGCAGGCUUAACACAUGCAAGUCGAGCGGGGGAGGGUAGCUUGCUACCGGACCUAGCGGCGGACGGGUGAGUAAUGCUUAGGAAUCUGCCUAUUAGUGGGGGACAACAUCUCGAAAGGGAUGCUAAUACCGCAUACGUCCUACGGGAGAAAGCAGGGGAUCUUCGGACCUUGCGCUAAUAGAUGAGCCUAAGUCGGAUUAGCUAGUUGGUGGGGUAAAGGCCUAACAAGGCGACGAUCUGUAGCGGGUCUGAGAGGAUGAUCCGCCACACUGGGACUGAGACACGGCCCAGACUCCGACGGGAGGCAGCAGUGGGGAAUAUUGGACAAUGGGGGGAACCCUGAUCCAGCCAUGCCGCGUGUGUGAAGAAGGCCUUAUGGUUGUAAAGCACUUUAAGCGAGGAGGAGGCUACUUUAGUUAAUACCUAGAGAUAGUGGACGUUACUCGCAGAAUAAGCACCGGCUAACUCUGUGCCAGCCGCCGCCGUAA